UCUUCGGGGUUUUGGUCGUUACUCUGUGGAGAUAUAAGGAAUGUGAUGUCUGGAACUACUGCAGCCACAUUGUGACCAUGAAACCACGGUUGACCACAGAGGAUGGAAACUGCAGAAAGUGAAACUACUGAUAAGGGGGAAAUACUGUACUUCAGAAUGCAUCCCCUCCGGAUAAUAUAUCAGGGCUAGAAGAGAAAAGGCCAGGGCUUUUUGCAGAAGCACCAAGAAUUCAAGAACGUUCUAUAUCCCGCAGUAUGGCAUUGAGAAAUGUGAGUGGAGACAUCAGCACUGUUGAAAAGCUGAAUGGAAAGAAGAUGAAUGUUCUCCACAAAGAAACGGCAGUGGGAGGUGUCAUUGAGAUGGGCUUUCUGAUUUCAGUGGACUAUGGGAUAGAGAGCCAACUUUACUAUAAAGUCAAAGUGGGCACAAAUGUCACAACAGACAACAGGGAAGAAGUGUUAAUCAGAAUGCUUUGACCCACAGGGAUCUUUGGUGAUGGCUAAAUGUUCACAUUGUCCCUAGGAAUAAAAUAAAAAUAAAA